UCUGCCCUCACAGUCCCACACCUGCUGUGAUGAUCCAACACCUCCCAUGAUGGGCCCACACCUACCGUGAAGACCCCAAACCUGCACUGAUGACACAACACCAGCCCUGACACACCCACACUUGCCUUGACGAGACCACACCUGCCCUGACAGCCCCAAACCUGCUCUGACAAUCCCACACCUGCCCUGACAUCCUCACACCUGCUUUGAAAGCCCCACACCUGCACUGACGAUCCAACACCUUCCAUGAUGGCCCCACACCUACCCUGACGACCCCAAACCUGCACUGAUGACACCACACCUGCCCUGACAGCCCCACACCUGGCCUGACAAUCCCACACCUGCCCUGACAUCCUCACACCUGCCCUGAAAGCCCCACACCUGCCAUGACAGCCUCUGUGGUGGAUAUUAGCGUGUUUCCCAUGUGGUAUUGGUGUGCUGGAUAUCCCUUCAGUGGUAGCCUGGUAACAUACACUCCCAGGUCUUUCUCUGCCUCUGUGGUGGAUAGUGGAGUGUUUCCCAUGUGGUAUUGGUGUGCUGGAUAUCCCUUCACUGGUAGCCUGGUAACAUACACUCCCAGGUCUUUCUCUGCCUCUGUGGUGGAUAGUGAAGUGUUUCCCAUGUGGUAUUGGUGUGCUGGAUAUCCCUUCACUGGUAGCCUGGUAACAUACACUCCCAGGUCUUUCUCUGCCUCUGUGGUGGACAGUGGAGUGUUUCCCAUGUGGUAUUGGUGUGCUGGAUAUUCCUUCACUGGUUGCCUGGUAACAUACACUCCCAGGUCUUUCUCUGCCUCUGUGGUGGAUAGUGGAGUGUUUCCCAUGUGGUAUUGGUGUGCUGGAUAUCCCUUCACUGGUAGCCUGGUAACAUACACUCCCAGGUCUUUCUCUGCCUCUGUGGUGGAUAGUGGAGUGUUUCCCAUGUGGUAUUGGUGUGCUGGAUAUCCCCUCCCAAGGAUCAGGACUUUACAUUUUUCCUCAUUGCAUUGUAGCAGCCACUUUUUGUUCCACUCCUAAAGCUUGGUGAUGUCUUCUUGUAGGAAAUCCACAGUCAAGGGGUUAAAAAUAGGCCUUUCUGACAAACUGUUGCAAUUUUUAUAACACUCUUACUUCCCUUAUAAGAUUAUAUUAUGUUGUUUGUCUGUCCACAACACAAGUCCUGCAGCAAUACUUCCUCUCCACAACACAAGUCCUACAGCAAUACUUCCUCUCCACAACACAAGUCCUAUAGCAAUACUUCCUCUCCACAACACAAGUCCAACAGCAAUACUUCCUCUCCACAACACAAGUCCAACAGCAAUACUUCCUCUCCACAACACAAGUCCUACAGCAAUACUUCCUCUCCACAACACAAGUCCUGCAGCAAUACUUCCUCUCCACAGCACAAGUCCUACAGCAAUACUUCCUCUCCAUAACACAAGUCCUACAGCAAUACUUCCUCUCCACAACACAAGUCCUACAGCAAUACUUCCUCUCCACAACACAAGUCCUGCAGCAAUACUUCCUCUCCAUAACACAAGUCCUACAGCAAUACUUCCUCUCCACAACACAGGUCCUACAACAAUACAAGGAUCGUAAUGUUACGUCUACGUAAAGACGAGAAAUAAGCAAACAGUGAGUGCUGGGCUGAUGUAACCUUGCCUCGACGUACAGAGAUCAAAGCGUGAAUUGAAGUUACUUAUAGAAACAUC